rnacentral:pre_miRNA from 1 species
GUGGUACUCCCUCCGUCCGGAAAUACUUGUCAUCAAAAUGAAUAAAAAAUGAUGUAUCUAGAUGUAUUUUAGUUCUAGAUACAUCCUUUUUUGUCCAUUUUUAUGACAAGUAUUUUCGGACGGAGGGAGUACUUC